GGCUAACGCUGGCGGCGUGUCUUAGCCAUGCAAGUCGAGCGGACUUAUGGGGUAACUUAUAAGUCAGCGGCGGACGGCGGAGUAACACGUAGCUAACCUACCCUCUGGACGGGGAUAACCUACCGAAAGGUGGGCUAAUACCCGAUGUAGUCAUCCUGUAUAGGGGUGAUGAAAGGUGGGCUUCUGUUUACAAGCUCAUGCUGGAGGAGGGGGCUGCGGCCUAUCAGGUAGUUGGUAGGGUAAUAGCCUACCAAGCCGAUGACGGGUAGCCGGCCUGAGAGGGUGACCGGCCCGAGGGGCACUGAGAUACGGGUCCCACUCCUACGGGAGGCAGCAGGCUAGAAAUUUGGGCAAUGGGGGAAACCCUGACCCAGUGACGCCGCGCAGGAAGGAGCCCUUCGGGGUGUAAACUGCUGUCGUGUAGGGAGAAGGGUACUAAGGUGAACAAUCUUAGUACUUGACGGUACUACAGGAGGAAGCCCAGGCUAACCUCGUG
rnacentral:rRNA from 1 species